CAGACGGAAGCGCUAUUUGAUCGCCUCUCCUGGAGAUUCAGGUUCAUUUCAGGCAGAAUGAAGAGAGAACCAGACCUCUGUGGCAUUCAGCAGAUUAUUAUUUUUCAAAGAAUACAACACGGCAGCAAGAAAAAUGCAGAAGCUCACCUGUUUCCAAGAAGCAGAACCGCUGAGACGUGACACCGGGCGUUGAGGCUGAUUUGGAUGCAGAGAAAGAAGAAUGAACGGGCUGAAUUCAGUCCAAGGACGAUGUGAUAAUCCUGAGAUCAAAGCGAGAGUGGGACAGCUGGGAGCAAUGUCAAAAAUUUGUGCCAUCUGGAUGAAGAUUUGCUGUUUCAGAUGAAGGUGUUCAUUGACUAGGUGGUCUUAAGAGCAGGUAACGAUGAAGAGACUGAACAUUUGAACCAGCUGGAUGAAGAUUUGCUGUUUUAUUUGGGUCUAACCAGCUGCAGGGAGCAAUGUAGAAUAUUUGAACGAACUGGAUGAAGAUUUGUGGUUUCAGAUGAAGUUUUUCAUUGACCAGCUGGGUUUGAGAGCAGUUCAUUUUCAACUCUACAAAGACGACAGCCGUCCUGCUGAUGAUCGGGUUUCUGUAACGGUGUCUCAACACAUUUUUAUUUAUUUUUUUUGAUAUAUUUCUGCUGCCUUCGAGCUGACAGAACAAACCAGAGUGAGGCCACUUCCAGUUGAUGGGACCCGUCAUUUAUUUUGUCAUGUUGGAUUUGCUGAAUAAACAGUAACUAAUUCUUGAA